GUGUUUGCUUCAGCAGCACAUUUACUAAAAUUGGAAUGAUACAGAGAAGAUUAGCAUGGCCCUUGGGCAAUGACACACAAAUAUGUGAAUUGUUCUAUAUUAAA